GGUCGCUUAGCUCAGUUGGUUAGAGCGUGGUGCUAAUAUCAAGUUAACGCCAAGGUCGCGAGUUCGACCCUCGUAGUGACCA